AUGUUCUCACUUUGGCAGCAUAUAUACUAAAAUUGGAACAAUAUGGAGAUUAGCAUGGCCCAUGUGCAAGGAUGACAUAAGAAUUCGUCAAGUGUUCCGUAUUCUU